CUUGAAAUACCACCCUUUAAUGUUUGAUGUUCUAACGUGGACCCGUAAUCCGGGUUGCGGACAGUGUCUGGUGGGUAGUUUGACUGGGGCGGUCUCCUCCUAAAGAGUAACGGAGGAGCACGAAGGUUGGCUAAUCCUGGUCGGACAUCAGGAGGUUAGUGCAAUGGCAUAAGCCAGCUUGACUGCGAGCGUGACGGCGCGAGCAGGUGCGAAAGCAGGUCAUAGUGAUCCGGUGGUUCUGAAUGGAAGGGCCAUCGCUCAACGGAUAAAAGGUACUCCGGGGAUAACAGGCUGAUACCGCCCAAGAGUUCAUAUCGACGGCGGUGUUUGGCACCUCGAUGUCGGCUCAUCACAUCCUGGGGCUGAAGUAGGUCCCAAGGGUAUGGCUGUUCGCCAUUUAAAGUGGUACGCGAGCUGGGUUUAGAACGUCGUGAGACAGUUCGGUCCCUAUCUGCCGUGGGCGCUGGAAGACUGAGGGGGGCUGCUCCUAGUACGAGAGGACCGGAGUGGACGCAUCACUGGUGUUCGGGUUGUCAUGCCAAUGGCACUGCCCGGUAGCUAAAUGCGGAAAAGAUAAGUGCUGAAAGCAUCUAAGCACGAAACUUGCCCCGAGAUGAGUCUUCCCUGAGACUUUGAGUCUCCUGAAGGAACGUUAAAGACGAUGACGUUGAUAGGCCGGGUGUGUAAGCGCAGCGAUGCGUUGAGCUAACCGGUACUAAUGAACCGUGAGG
rnacentral:rRNA from 1 species